UGGUGCAUGGUUGUCGUCAGCUCGUGUCGCGAGAUGUUGGGUUAAGUCCCGCAACGAGCGCAACCCCUAUUGUUAGUUGCCAUCAUUCAGUUGGGCACUCUAGCGAGACUGCCGGUAAUAAACCGGAGGAAGGUGGGGAUGACGUCAAAUCAUCAUGCCCCUUAUGACCUGGGCUACACACGUGCUACAAUGGUUGGUACAACGAGUUGCGAGUCGGUGACGGCGAGCUAAUCUCUUAAAGCCAAUCUCAGUUCGGAUUGUAGGCUGCAACUCGCCUACAUGAAGUCGGAAUCGCUAGUAAUCGCGGAUCAGCACGCCGCGGUGAAUACGUUCCCGGGCCUU
rnacentral:rRNA from 1 species